GUGCCAGCAGCCGCGGUAAUACGGAGGGUGCAAACGUUGCUCGGAAUCAUUGGGCGUAAAGCGCACGUAGGCGGCGAAGCAAGUUGGGUGUGAAAGCCCUGGGCUCAACCCAGGAAGUGCAUUCAAAACUGCUUCGCUUGAAUCUCGGAGGGGGUCAGAGAAUUCCCGGUGUAGAGGUGAAAUUCGUAGAUAUCGGGAGGAAUACCAGUGGCGAAGGCGCUGACCUGGACGAAGAUUGACGCUGAGGUGCGAAAGCGCGGGGAGCAAACAGGAUUAGAUACCCGCGUAGUCC
rnacentral:rRNA from 1 species